GGUUAAGCGACUAAGCGUACACGGUGGAUGCCCUGGCAGUCAGAGGCGAUGAAGGACGUGCUAAUCUGCGAUAAGCGUCGGUAAGGUGAUAUGAACCGUUAUAACCGGCGAUUUCCGAAUGGGGAAACCCAGUGUGUUUCGACACACUAUCAUUAACUGAAUCCAUAGGUUAAUGAGGCGAACCGGGGGAACUGAAACAUCUAAGUACCCCGAGGAAAAGAAAUCAACCGAGAUUCCCCCAGUAGCGGCGAGCGAACGGGGAGGAGCCCAGAGCCUGAAUCAGUGUGUGUGUUAGUGGAAGCGUCUGGAAAGGCGCGCGAUACAGGGUGACAGCCCCGUACACAAAAAUGCACAUAUUGUGAGCUCGAUGAGUAGGGCGGGACACGUGGUAUCCUGUCUGAAUAUGGGGGGACCAUUCUCCAAGGCUAAAUACUCCUGACUGACCGAUAGUGAACCAGUACCGUGAGGGAAAGGCGAAAAGAACCCCGGCGAGGGGAGUGAAAAAGAACCUGAAACCGUGUACGUACAAGCAGUGGGAGCCUCUUUAUGG
rnacentral:rRNA from 1 species